rnacentral:lncRNA from 1 species
AAGAGAGCAGUGGGUACUUGGAGCAAAUACGAUUGGAGACAAGGCUGGUGAGGCAGGCGGGAGAAAGCAGGGCUCAGUGUGCCCUGUACUGGAAUCUGCUCUUGCUCUGGGUUGAAGAUAGCAAGUGCAUCUCUGGGCAACUACUGCAGCUGGCUGUGGGGGACUGAUGCAUACUGUUGAGGCUGAUCUUACUCUGUCUCCUCUCUAUGAACAAGGCCUUGAAACCGCCACUCCGUCAGGUCCUUGUCUUUCCAGUUUUCCUUCUUUGUGCCAUUGGGAUUAUAGAGAAUCAGCUCAUAAAAGUCAAAGUCCCCAGAGGCUGGACUCCAGUUGAACCAAAGGCUGUCUGUCGUGUUCCGAUUGGACCCCCUGAGAUGACUCACAGAGGCUGGGACUUAAACAGAAGAAAAAUUGUUACUGAGAACAAAACAGAAACACAGGCAUUUUGGCCCACAGGGUCUCACUCCGGUUGCCCAGGCUGGAGUGCAGUGGCACGAUCACGACUCACUGCAGCCUUGACCUCCCGGGCUCAGGUGAUUCUUCCACCUCAGCCUUCCAAGCAGCUGGGACUACAGGUGUGCACCACCACGCCUGGCUAAUUUUUUGUAUUUUUAGUAGAAAUGGGGUUUAGCUAUGUUGCCCAGGCUAGUCUCGAACUCCUGAACUCAAGCAAUCUACCUGCCUUGGCCUUCCAGGGUGCUGGGAUUACAGGCGUGAGCUACUGUGCCCAGCCUGCUUGUUAAAAUUUAAAAUUUUAUUAUCCUUUAGCAAGUAUAAAAAUGUGUUCAAAUGAUUUGGUUUCUGAUUCCCUUUCAUUUGUUUUGCAGAUCUCUAUUAAGAGAAAAAUACAAAGAAUAAAUGAGUAAGGCUCUUGAAACCAUUGAAUUGUACAAACUUUGGUGGUUUUAAAUCUGGAUUUGUGAAUAGCUGAGCCCGUUCACUGUCCCAUUUUGGAGAACCAUGAGGCAUUCUACAAUCUAGCCCUUCUCCAGGUGGAUGCUUACCUGUCCGCCCAACCACAUUUAUCUGAUUCUUCAGGGACCCGCUGACUGAGGCAAUCAUGAUCUGGUACUGCUCCCCGGCCUCCAGUCUGUGGAACGUGUGCUCAAAGACGUGCUUGGGAAUAGUCUGAGAGUCAACCUUUUGACUGUGCCUGAAUGCCGACACCGUGUAGGAAUCAACGUCUCCCCCACCAGGAGUCCAGUUCACCGUCAGGCUAUCUGUUGCUCCAUUGGGAGAAAUGUGAAUAUUUUUGACAGCACUAGGAACUAAAACAGAAAAUAAAUUUAAAAGUCAUCACUUAGAGAAUGAACUGUUGAAAUUUUCAAACAAAGUUUUGAAUGCUUCUGAUGUUUUGGCACCCACUGAGAGAACUCACAUGAAAAAGAAAGUAACAAUUUGCCACUUUUCUCUGAUUUUUCUGUGUGAACUAAAGUUGAUGGGGGAAAGCUUAGGGGGAAGUCAAAGCCGGUGAGUGGAAAUGAGGAAUGCUAAUUAUAUAGCGAGGGGCUAGUUAGGGUGUCUUGGUCCAAGUUUUGGUUUUCUCACUCACUAGCUGUGGGACUACAGGCAAAUUACUUGACCUCUGUAAGUUUUAGUUUCUUCAUUAGGAAAAAUGGCAGUGAUGAUAAUACUAACCAGCCCAUAGAGUUGUGAAGAUUGAUUCUUUUUUAAUUUAAUUUUAUUUUAUUUUUGAGGUAGGGUCUCUGUCUGUUGUCCAGGCUGGAGUGCAAUGGCAUGAUUAUGGCUCACUGCAUCCUAUACCUCCUGGGCUCAAGUGAUUCUCCCACCUCAGCCUCCCCAGUAGCUGGGACUACAGGCACGUAACACCGUGCCCGGCUAAUUUUUUUGUAUUUUUUGUAGAGACAGGGUUUUGUCAUGUUGCCCAGGCUGUGCUUGAACUCCUGGGCUCAAGCUAUCCUCCUGCCUUGGCUUCCAAAGCAUUGUGAAGACUGAACAAGAUGUAGACAUAAAAUGCUUUGCUGUGGGUCUGGUUCAUGGUGAACUGUCAGUACAUGUUAACUACUAUGGCAACACUCCUAAAAGAGUUCUAAAGAAGUGAUACCCAAGUAACACUUAAUUCUUAAUCUGUGUGCCUCAGAAGCACCAGCUGAUCACAUCAGUUCAUUGCUAUUUCUCUGAAAGCACCCUCCAACCCCGCCACUCUCUGCUGACAUCAUACUUUAUUUUCAUUCAUCCAGGUUGGACAACAUCAUUGUCACUAUCAACAUGACUUUGUCCCUUCUUGCUGUCUCCCUUUUAUCCCUCCAAAUGCUCAAUCGAAAUACCUGAACUACCCGAAAGUUAAAUGCACCACUGCAUCUAUUCAGGUUCAAGAACAGUAUUUCACAUUACCUGUGAAGCCCUCAAUGAAGGCUGACUGCUGUACAUCCCCGCUAAUCGUCAAGACAAGAAUUUUGUAUUGGCGGCCUGGUGUUAGGGAAGUAAAUCGAUACUCGGUUGCGGUAUUUACAAGGUGAAAAGGAGGAAAUACUUUCAUGUCAUUGAAGAGCAGCUGGAUCUCAUAUUGGUCGACAUCCCCAUUAGCUCCUGACCAAGUCACAUGCAAGUCCUCAGUGCUCCUGUUGCGCAAUGUUAGAUCCUUAACAGGCUCUGGAACUAGGGAGAAAAAUGAGAAGACAUUUCAGGAAAGGAACUGAUCAGAGUUUACCUACAUAAUAAUUUAUGAAUCACAUUCAAGGAACUGGCAACAUCUCCCUUCCCCAAAUAAACCACUAGCACUACUUCAUGCAUAAUUAAACAAGAAAAAUUGGAAGCAACUAUUAACAUUGUGGUUUUUUCCUGACAUAAAUGUUACAUGAUCAGCAUUGGUAGAACAUAAUUAUAAAAUGAGUUAUGAUCUCAAUCAUAAGAUAAAACAAGAAGUCUAGAAUCUAAAUGCCAUGAUGCAGGAAGAUAGGGAAGAAAAAUGGGACAUUUAGCCUUCUUGCUCCCUCACUAUGUUUGCUUUUAUCUACCAAUAAAUAUUCUGUAAUUAUAGGCCAUGGCUUGGCUGAAUGAUGUUAGCACCAAGUGAGACUUACUGGGAAUGUAAUGUACUAAUGAAUAAGCAGAAAAAAUUCAAGGUUCAGAUAAAUUACUAGAGACUUUCAAGUCCAACCAACUGUCAGAUUUUGCAAUCGUUC